rnacentral:rRNA from 1 species
GAUGAACGCUGGCGGCGUGCCUAAUACAUGCAAGUCGAGCGAACAGAUGAGGAGGUUGAUCCUCUGACGUUAGCGGCGGAAGGGUGCGUAAAACGUGGAUAACCUACCUUUAAGACUGGGAUACGUUAGGGAAACCGGAGCCCAUACCGGAUAAUAUAUUGAACUGCCUGGUUUAAUAGUUAAAGACGGUUCUGAUGAUCCUUAUGGAUGGUUCCGCGGCGGAUUGGGUAGGUGGUAACGUAACGGCUUACAAAGGCCGCGAUACGGAGCCGCCCCGGCAGUGAGAUCGGCCACACUGGAACUGAUGCACGGUCCAGACGCCAACGAGAGGCAGCAGUAGGGCAUCUGCGGCGAUGGGCGAAAGCCUGACGGAGCAACGCCGCAUGAGUGAUGAAGGUCUUCGGAUCGUAAAACUCUGUUAUUAGGAAAGAACAGAUGUGUAAGUAACGAUGCACGUCUUGACGGUACCUAAUCAGAAAGCCACGGCUAACUACGUG